UAUAUACUGUCUCAUAUAUAUAUUUACGAAUUUAAAAUUUUAAUAAAAAUGUUAAAAUUUAUUUAUGGGACGAUAAGACCCUAUAGAAUUUUAUAUUAAUUUAUUUAUUUAAUUAAUAAAUAAUUUAAAUUAAUAUUUAAUUGGGAGGAUUAUUAAAUUUAAAAAACUUUAAUUUAUAUAAACUUUAAUUAAAGAAAAUAUUAUGAUCUUGAAUUUUAAAUUAUUAGAAUAAAUUACCUUAGGGAUAACAGCGUAAUAUUUUUUUAUAGAUCUUAUAGAAAAAAAUGAUUGCGACCUCGAUGUUGAAUUAAGA
rnacentral:rRNA from 6 species